rnacentral:rRNA from 1 species
AUGCCGCGCGGGGACACGGCCGUCAGCAACGCGCUGCUCUCGGCCUACGCCAGGGCCGGCCUCCUCGACGCCGCGGAGAAGCUGUUCGGGGAAAUGCCGGACCGGAACGUGGUCUCCUGGACCGCGAUGGUGUCCGGGUACGUGCAGAACGGCCGGCACGAGGAGGCCGUGGGGGCGUUCCUGGAGAUGUGGGAGGGGGCAGGGGUGCAGCCGAAUGAGCUGACGGUGAGCAGCGUGCUGCCCGCGUGCGCGGCUGUUGGGGCCAUGGAGCUGGGGAGGAAGGUGGAGGAGUACGCGAGGGGCAAAGGCCACCUGGUGAAUGUGUAUGUGGCCAAUGCACUGCUGGAGAUGUAUGCCAAGUGUGGCAGCAUCCAGAGAGCUUGGCAGGUGUUUCAGGGGAUCGGUCGUCGGCGAGAUCUCUGUUCUUCGAACUCAAUGAUCAUGGCAUUCGCCUUGCAUGGCUCCUGGAGGGAAGCACUUGCCUUGUUCCAUAAGUUGAGGAUGACAGGGGCUAAACCAGAUGGUAUCACAUUUGUUGGAGUCAUUUUGGCUUGCACUCAUGGAGGUUUGGUAGAUGAAGGAAAGCUACUCUUCAACUCCAUGGAGGCCGAAUUUAGUCUUACUCCAAGAAUUGAGCACUAUGGUUGCAUGGUUGAUCUGCUUGGGCGUGCUGGUCUCCUGAAUGAAGCCUACAGUAUGAUAGUAAGCAUGCCAGUGGAGCCUGACGCCGUCAUCUGGGGAGCCUUGCUCGGUGCCUGCAGCUUCCAUGGAAACGUAGAACUAGCGGAAACAGCAGUAAACAAACUCAUCUUUCUUGAGCCACAAAACACUGGAAAUCUGGUGAUCCUGUCAAACAUAUACGCGUCGUCUGGAAAAUGGGACGGUGUUGCCCAGGUAUGGAAGUUACUCAAGGAGAAAGACCACAAGAAAUCAGCUGGGUACAGCUUCAUAGAGCUAGAUGGCAGGAUGCACAAGUUCCUUGUUGAGGAUAAGUCACAUCCAAGAUUUGUGGAGGUGUACAGCACCCUUGACAGUGUCACAAUGCUCAUGAAGCUUGUCGGACUAGAAAAUGAGGAAGAAGCGGAACAGCUGUUUCUGUCACCUGUAGAGAUCUAA